rnacentral:lncRNA from 12 species
GAAAAAUCACGUUCAAAAAGAAGGCACGUGACGCUGUAAUCCAAGCGAUGAUAGUAGUAGAAGUAGAGGAGUUGGAUGACUUUUUUUCCUUUAUAAGGUAGCCUAAUUGUUAAUUUUACAGUUUUUUUUUUUGUUAUGUAUUAAUUAUCAUGGGCUGUGAUAAAAAAACAAACAAAAAAAAAAAAAACAAGUAGGGCUAUACUAAUACUAAGAGUAUAUUUGGUUCGAAAAGCCUGUAUGUUACAUCUCCUUUUUGAAGCUCUUGUGUUUUUCUCCUUUUCCAUCUCUCCAAUCCCGUUCUGCUCACAGGUGAUUGGAGAUGAGUUUUGUUCCUGCUAUGUUGCAGUUUGCUGAUUGUUGUAAAAUAAUUUAAAAAAUAUUGGGCUUGUUUUUGAAAUUGCUUAUUUGUCUCGCGAGAGUCGGCAACGGUAGUGCGCGCAUCACUCUUGGGCUUCGCGCCUUUUUAUUCUGAGGGUCAGAUAACGACGGCCACAGAGGGACCAGCGCCAAAGAAAAUGCGCAUUUAAUCGGAAAAGACAGACAUGGAUGAUGUUUUUGAGAGAGUAUCGGGAUGUCUCCACGUGACAGAAAUCCACACGCAAGUUUGGGUCAGAGAUGUGAGGUCACCGUAGCCCCCAGAUCCAGUCUGUGUAACCAGAUCAGAUGGCCACUGCAGUCACCCGGAUCCAGUACGUAUCCAGCCCAGAUGGUGGAUCAGCACCUAGAGAUGACCUCGAGAGCCCUGAAUGUCAGCGGAGACCAGGACAACUAGAUGGACCCCAUAGACAGAUCCCAAGUGAAGACCUUGUCACCUAGACAGCCAUCGGGACAACACCAUGAGACAUUUAAGACUGAUGCUCACAUCAAAGAUCUCAAAUCCAGCGAUGUCCAGCACACCAAUGAAGAACUGUCUAGGCUGCUUGGUGUCCAACAUCUCAUUGAUACGGACGACCAUCCACAAGAACAUUUUCUCAUAGAUAGACUUGCAGAGAGCUGA